rnacentral:rRNA from 1 species
GACGAACGCUGGCGGCGUGCUAAUACAUGCAAGUUGAACGAUGAUUUCUGGUACUUGUAUCAGAAUGAAGAGUAGCGAACGGGUGAGUAACGCGUGGGUAACCUACCUCUCAGCGGGGGACAACCAUUGGAAACGAUAGCUAAUGCCGCAUAACAAUAUUAAACACAUGUUUAACAUUUGAAAGUACCAAUUGGUACACUAGGAGAUGGACCCGCGUUGUAUUAGCUAGUUGGUAGUGUAAUGGACUACCAAGGCGAUGAUACAUAGCCGACCUGAGAGGGUGAUCGGCCACAUUGGGACUGAGACACGGCCCAAACUCCUACGGGAGGCAGCAGUAGGGAAUCUUCGGCAAUGGACGAAAGUCUGACCGAGCAACGCCGCGUGAGUGAAGAAGGUUUUCGGAUCGUAAAGCUCUGUUGUUAGAGAAGAACGUUGUGUAGAGUGGAAAAUUACACAAGUGACGGUAUCUAACCAGAAAGGGACGGCUAACUACGUGCCAGCAGCCGCGGUAAUACGUAGGUCCCGAGCGUUGUCCGGAUUUAUUGGGCGUAAAGCGAGCGCAGGUGGUUUAAUAAGUCUGAUGUAAAAGGCAGUGGCUCAACCAUUGUGUGCAUUGGAAACUGUUAGACUUGAGUGCAGUAGAGGAGAGUGGAAUUCCAUGUGUAGCGGUGAAAUGCGUAGAUAUAUGGAGGAACACCGGUGGCGAAAGCGGCUCUCUGGACUGUAACUGACACUGAGGCUCGAAAGCGUGGGUAGCAAACAGGAUUAGAUACCCUGGUAGUCCACGCCGUAAACGAUGAGUGCUAGUUGUUUGGGGCUAUCCAGCCCUAAGUGACGCAGCAAACGCAUUAAGCACUCCGCCUGGGGAGUACGACCGCAAGGUUGAAACUCAAAGGAAUUGACGG